GGGUUGUGAGGUUAAGCGACUAAGCGUACACGGUGGAUGCCCUGGCAGUCAGAGGCGAUGAAGGACGUGCUAAUCUGCGAUAAGCGUCGGUAAGGUGAUAUGAACCGUUAUAACCGGCGAUUUCCGAAUGGGGAAACCCAGUGUGUUUCGACACACUAUCAUUAACUGAAUCCAUAGGUUAAUGAGGCGAACCGGGGGAACUGAAACAUCUAAGUACCCCGAGGAAAAGAAAUCAACCGAGAUUCCCCCAGUAGCGGCGAGCGAACGGGGAGGAGCCCAGAGCCUGAAUCAGUGUGUGUGUUAGUGGAAGCGUCUGGAAAGGCGCGCGAUACAGGGUGACAGCCCCGUACACAAAAAUGCACAUGCUGUGAGCUCGAUGAGUAGGGCGGGACACGUGGUAUCCUGUCUGAAUAUGGGGGGACCAUCCUCCAAGGCUAAAUACUCCUGACUGACCGAUAGUGAACCAGUACCGUGAGGGAAAGGCGAAAAGAACCCCGGCGAGGGGAGUGAAAAAGAACCUGAAACCGUGUACGUACAAGCAGUGGGAGCAUGCUUAGGCGUGUGACUGCGUACCUUUUGUAUAAUGGGUCAGCGACUUAUAUUCUGUAGCAAGGUUAACCGAAUAGGGGAGCCGAAGGGAAACCGAGUCUUAACUGGGCGUUAAGUUGCAGGGUAUAGACCCGAAACCCGGUGAUCUAGCCAUGGGCAGGUUGAAGGUUGGGUAACACUAACUGGAGGACCGAACCGACUAAUGUUGAAAAAUUAGCGGAUGACUUGUGGCUGGGGGUGAAAGGCCAAUCAAACCGGGAGAUAGCUGGUUCUCCCCGAAAGCUAUUUAGGUAGCGCCUCGUGAACUCAUCUCCGGGGGUAGAGCACUGUUUCGGCAAGGGGGUCAUCCCGACUUACCAACCCGAUGCAAACUGCGAAUACCGGAGAAUGUUAUCACGGGAGACACACGGCGGGUGCUAACGUCCGUCGUGAAGAGGGAAACAACCCAGACCGCCAGCUAAGGUCCCAAAGUCAUGGUUAAGUGGGAAACGAUGUGGGAAGGCCCAGACAGCCAGGAUGUUGGCUUAGAAGCAGCCAUCAUUUAAAGAAAGCGUAAUAGCUCACUGGUCGAGUCGGCCUGCGCGGAAGAUGUAACGGGGCUAAACCAUGCACCGAAGCUGCGGCAGCGACGCUUAUGCGUUGUUGGGUAGGGGAGCGUUCUGUAAGCCUGUGAAGGUGUACUGUGAGGUAUGCUGGAGGUAUCAGAAGUGCGAAUGCUGACAUAAGUAACGAUAAAGCGGGUGAAAAGCCCGCUCGCCGGAAGACCAAGGGUUCCUGUCCAACGUUAAUCGGGGCAGGGUGAGUCGACCCCUAAGGCGAGGCCGAAAGGCGUAGUCGAUGGGAAACAGGUUAAUAUUCCUGUACUUGGUGUUACUGCGAAGGGGGGACGGAGAAGGCUAUGUUGGCCGGGCGACGGUUGUCCCGGUUUAAGCGUGUAGGCUGGUUUUCCAGGCAAAUCCGGAAAAUCAAGGCUGAGGCGUAAUGACGAGGCACUACGGUGCUGAAGCAACAAAUGCCCUGCUUCCAGGAAAAGCCUCUAAGCAUCAGGUAACAUCAAAUCGUACCCCAAACCGACACAGGUGGUCAGGUAGAGAAUACCAAGGCGCUUGAGAGAACUCGGGUGAAGGAACUAGGCAAAAUGGUGCCGUAACUUCGGGAGAAGGCACGCUGAUAUGUAGGUGAAGCGACUUGCUCGUGGAGCUGAAAUCAGUCGAAGAUACCAGCUGGCUGCAACUGUUUAUUAAAAACACAGCACUGUGCAAACACGAAAGUGGACGUAUACGGUGUGACGCCUGCCCGGUGCCGGAAGGUUAAUUGAUGGGGUUAGCGCAAGCGAAGCUCUUGAUCGAAGCCCCGGUAAACGGCGGCCGUAACUAUAACGGUCCUAAGGUAGCGAAAUUCCUUGUCGGGUAAGUUCCGACCUGCACGAAUGGCGUAAUGAUGGCCAGGCUGUCUCCACCCGAGACUCGGUGAAAUUGAACUCGCUGUGAAGAUGCAGUGUACCCGCGGCAAGACGGAAAGACCCCGUGAACCUUUACUAUAGCUUGACACUGAACAUUGAGCCUUGAUGUGUAGGAUAGGUGGGAGGCUU
rnacentral:rRNA from 1 species